rnacentral:rRNA from 1 species
GACGAACGCUGGCGGCGUGCUUAACACAUGCAAGUCGAACGGAAGGGCCCUGCUUGCAGGGUACUCGAGUGGCGAACGGGUGAGUAACACGUGGGUGAUCUGCCCUGCACUUCGGGAUAAGCCUGGGAAACUGGGUCUAAUACCGGAUAGGAGCCAUUUUUAGUGUGAUGGUUGGAAAGUUUUUUCGGUGUAGGAUGAGCUCGCGGCCUAUCAGCUUGUUGGUGGGGUAAUGGCCUACCAAGGCGGCGACGGGUAGCCGGCCUGAGAGGGUGGACGGCCACAUUGGGACUGAGAUACGGCCCAGACUCCUACGGGAGGCAGCAGUGGGGAAUAUUGCACAAUGGGCGCAAGCCUGAUGCAGCGACGCCGCGUGGGGGAUGACGGCCUUCGGGUUGUAAACUCCUUUCGCUAGGGACGAAGCUUUUGUGACGGUACCUAGAUAAGAAGCACCGGCUAACUACGUG